rnacentral:rRNA from 1 species
AACGAACGCUGGCGGCGCGCCUAAUACAUGCAAGUCGAACGAGAAGCUGUAGCAAUACAGUUGUACAGUGGCGAACGGGUGAGGAAUACAUGGGUGACCUACCCUCGAGUGGGGAAUAACCAGCCGAAAGGUUAGCUAAUACCGCGUACGCUCCUUGGACUUCGGUUCAGGGAGGAAAGCGAUACCGUGGGUAUCGCGCUCUUGGUUGGGCUCAUGUCCUAUCAGCUUGNGGUGAGGUAACGGCUCACCAAGGCUUCGACGGGUAGCUGGUCUGAGAGGACGAUCAGCCACACUGGCACUGCGACACGGGCCAGACUCCUACGGGAGGCAGCAGUAAGGAAUAUUGCGCAAUGGGCGAAAGCCUGGCGCAGCGACGCCGCGUGGGGGGAGUGAAAGU